GUUGCCUCUUGGCCUUCUGGCUAAGAUCAAGUGUAGCAUCUAUUUUAUACAUAGUAGUGUAUGUAUGAAUCUCCCAAUUCCUCCCACCCCCU
ensembl:snRNA U2 U2 spliceosomal RNA